rnacentral:rRNA from 1 species
CAGCAGCCGCGGGAAUACGUAGGUGGCAAGCGUUGUCCGGAUUUAUUGGGUUUAAAGGGUGCGUAGGCGGCUAUUUAAGUCAGCGGUGAAAGACUCCGGCUCAACCGGAGCAGUGCCAUUGAUACUGGAUAGCUUGAGUGUUGGAGGGGUACAUGGAAUUGAUGGUGUAGCGGUGAAAUGCAUAGAUACCAUCAGGAACACCGAUAGCGAAGGCAUUGUACUGGCCAACAACUGACGCUGAGGCACGAAAGCAUGGGGAGCGAACAGGAUUAGAUACCCGCGUAGUCCCUGUCUCUUAUAC